rnacentral:tRNA from 1 species
GUACUUAUGGCCUAGCGGUUAGAACGCAUGGACCGUUUUCAAGAAACGCGGGUUCAAAUCCCGCUACGUUCA